GAUCCCAUCCCGAACUCAGUAGUGAAACGAUGCAUCGCCGAUGGUAGUGUGGGGUUUCCCCAUGUGAGAGUAGGUCAUCGUCAAGA
rnacentral:rRNA from 7 species